rnacentral:rRNA from 1 species
CUGACUGACCGAUAGUGAACCAGUACCGUGAGGGAAAGGCGAAAAGAACCCCGGCGAGGGGAGUGAAAAAGAACCUGAAACCGUGUACGUACAAGCAGUGGGAGCACCUUCGGGUGUGACUGCGUACCUUUUGUAUAAUGGGUCAGCGACUUAUAUUCUGUAGCAAGGUUAACCGUAUAGGGGAGCCGCAGGGAAACCGAGUCUUAACUGGGCGUUAAGUUGCAGGGUAUAGACCCGAAACCCGGUGAUCUAGCCAUGGGCAGGUUGAAGGUUGGGUAACACUAACUGGAGGACCGAACCGACUAAUGUUGAAAAAUUAGCGGAUGACUUGUGGCUGGGGGUGAAAGGCCAAUCAAACCGGGAGAUAGCUGGUUCUCCCCGAAAGCUAUUUAGGUAGCGCCUCGUGAAUUCAUCUUCGGGGGUAGAGCACUGUUUCGGCUAGGGGGUCAUCCCGACUUACCAACCCGAUGCAAACUACGAAUACCGAAGAAUGUUAUCACGGGAGACACACGGCGGGUGCUAACGUCCGUCGUGAAGAGGGAAACAACCCAGACCGCCAGCUAAGGUCCCAAAGUCAUGGUUAAGUGGGAAACGAUGUGGGAAGGCACAGACAGCCAGGAUGUUGGCUUAGAAGCAGCCAUCAUUUAAAGAAAGCGUAAUAGCUCACUGGUCGAGUCGGCCUGCGCGGAAGAUGUAACGGGGCUAAACCAUGCACCGAAGCUGCGGCAGCGACACUAUGUGUUGUUGGGUAGGGGAGCGUUCUGUAAGCCUGCGAAGGUGACCUGUGAGGGUUGCUGGAGGUAUCAGAAGUGCGAAUGCUGACAUAAGUAACGAUAAAGCGGGUGAAAAGCCCGCUCGCCGGAAGACCAAGGGUUCCUGUCCAACGUUAAUCGGGGCAGGGUGAGUCGACCCCUAAGGCGAGGCCGAAAGGCGUAGUCGAUGGGAAACAGGUUAA